UCCAUCUGGUUUUUUUUUAUUCGAAGCCACUAGGAACGGUACCAUAGAAUCUCCAUUCCUUACUCAACACGUCCCAAUCUUAUAGAACGGUUCCAUGUCUCUUAAUUAUCCAAGCUUGGGUAUAUGUGGUACACAACAGCUGUGGUGAACAAAAUUGUUAGAAGGAGAAUGGAAGGCAUGGCUUAGUUGGAUCGA
rnacentral:ribozyme from 1 species